AACGAACGCUGGCGGCAGGAUUAAAACAUGCAAGUCGAGCGCCCCGCAAGGGGAGCGGCAGACGGGUGAGUAACGCGUGGGAAUCUACCCAUCUCUACGGAAUAACGCAUGGAAACGUGUGCUAAUACCGUAUACGUCAUUCGGGAGAAAGAUUUAUCGGAGAUGGAUGAGCCCGCGUUGGAUUAGCUAGUUGGUGUGGUAAAGGCCUACCAAGGCGACGAUCCAUAGCUGGUCUGAGAGGAUGAUCAGCCACACUGGGACUGAGACACGGCCCAGACUCCUACGGGAGGCAGCAGUGGGGAAUAUUGGACAAUGGGCGCAAGCCUGAUCCAGCCAUGCCGCGUGAGUGAUGAAGGCCCUAGGGUUGUAAAGCUCUUUCACCGGUGAAGAUAAUGACGGUAACCGGAGAAGAAGCCCCGGCUAACUUCGUGCCAGCCGCCGCGGUAACAC
rnacentral:rRNA from 1 species